rnacentral:rRNA from 1 species
AUUGAACGCUGGCGGCAUGCCUUACACAUGCAAGUCGAACGGCAGCACGGGAGCAAUCCUGGUGGCGAGUGGCGAACGGGUGAGUAAUGUAUCGGAACGUACCUUUCAGUGGGGGAUAACGUAGCGAAAGUUACGCUAAUACCGCAUAUUCUGUGAGCAGGAAAGCAGGGGAUCGCAAGACCUUGCGCUGAUUGAGCGGCCGAUAUCAGAUUAGCUAGUUGGUGAAGUAAAGGCUCACCAAGGCGACGAUCUGUAGCGGGUCUGAGAGGAUGAUCCGCCACACUGGAACUGAGACACGGUCCAGACUCCUACGGGAGGCAGCAGUGGGGAAUUUUGGACAAUGGGCGCAAGCCUGAUCCAGCCAUGCCGCGUGAGUGAAGAAGGCCUCGG